rnacentral:rRNA from 1 species
GACGAACGCUGGCGGCGUGCUUAACACAUGCAAGUCGAACGGAGUGGCGAACGGGGGCGUAACACGUUGGUGACCUGCCCUCCACUUCGGGAUAAGCAUGGGAAACUGGGUCUAAUACCGGAUAGUGGGGGAUGGGCCCGCGGCCUAUCAGAUUGUUGGUGGGGUAAUGGCCUACCAAGGCGGCGACGGGUCGCCGGCCUGAGAGGGUGUCCGGCCACAUUGGGCCUGAGGCACGGCCCAGACUCCUACGGGAGGCAGCAGUGGGGAAUAUGGCACAAUGGGCGGAAGCCUGAUGCAGCGACGCCGCGUGGGGGAUGACGGCCUUCGUGUUGUAAACUCCUUUCACCAUCGACGCGGUAGAUGGAGAAGAAGCACCGGCUAACUACGUGCCAGCAGCCGCGGUAAUUC